CGCUGCUGCUGCUGCUGCUGCUGCUGAUGAUGAUGAUGAUGCACCCCCUCCCCUCCUCUGUCUGUGUCUCCCACCAUCUGCCUUCUCAAAGGAUCCUGACGCUGUUCUACGCUUGAUCUGCGCAAACACUGGCUUAACGAACUGGAUUACUGGACCUAAUCCCAAAGUCUGAAAGACAACCAGAUAUGUGGCUGCUGGACUUUAAACCUAAAAGCCCACGUUUUCUCUUCAGAUGUGCAGAUGACUUGUGUCUGAUGAGACCAUGGAGCUCUCUAGCUGACCUUCUUGUCCUACAGGAGCCCAGGUGGUGUCGCUCACUACCUUGCUUACUUUAUCCUACCCUCUAAAAUAAAUCUAGAAAUACUUGAGGUUUAAUGAAAGAUUUUGUGAUAUUUGCUAGGAACCGAGCAUAAACAUUCUGAAACAUAAGUUUUCGGAAACAUGAGAAUUAUUUUACCAAGUUUCAUGUCAUUCAUGGGAUGACCCUGGGGAGAAGCAUGAGUAUAAUUUGUUUUUCUAAUUCAUGUAACAUGUCCCCUUGUUUCUUUUGAAAUGACUAUAGAAUAACUGUCCAGCCUCUGCAGUCUCCCAGAGACAAGUGUGUCACUCAAUUCCAUAAAGGUUGCCCACUCUCUUCAAACAACUGACAAAGUCCUGAUUUUUCACUAAUAAUGUAUUAAAUCUUUCCUGUUUAGUGGAGUGAUGCUCAGUCAAGGAAAAACUGGUGCAUGAUUACAGAUUGUGAAUCCUGGAGUCUCAAAUAUCCGUUUACUAAAAGUUAUCUAUAUGUGUAGUGGAGGUGGGUUUAAAAGCACGCUGUUACCAAAACCACUCAGAUAGUGUUUUAUGGACUCAGUAAAACAAACAUCCCACACAAAAUUAGAAAAACCUGGUUUGUUUUUAUGAAGUCAAAUGGCAAGGAUUCCUUGAAUUACAGAAACAGCUCUGUUAUGCUACCAACUCUGUUCACACAAACAUUUGCAAUCAUGAGGAGCAGCCUAGAUGUCCCCUAUGGAUGAUAACAGACAACUUGUGUUUAACCAUGAAAGUAUAGGUGUGAAUGUUAAAUGUUGCUUGAUCAUUUUGUUUUCAAUCUUUACUCCCAAUAUGGGCUAUUAAGUUACUCAUACAUCCUGUGCCCAUUACACCUUCUGACUUCAUCC